rnacentral:lncRNA from 1 species
ACUUGGUAACUCAUUCUCCUCCGAAAAACAGAACUGAGGAGAGAAAUGAAAGAAGAGAGGAGAGAGCAAGAGAAACAGAAGAGUGGAUUUCCUUAGAAUUUCUUGGCACUCCCCCCACCAAACCAUUUUUUAAUCCCUGUUCUGCGGGCCCAGCUUCCCUUGCAAGCCUGAGCACACAUUGCUCCACUAUAAUAAUGACAAUGACAAGAAUAAUCCUGCCUCGGCAAGGUCUUUCUUUAUCCAGGGACCUCAUCAGCAUAGAAGACUGGUGUGAGAACCAAAUGCUGUGUUCCACAGAAAGCUGGGUCUCUUCUUCGACCAAAAGAAGUAAGCGAUCUGGAAAGAGGAAGCUUUGUGCUCCAAGAGGCAAUCUGUGUUUUAUUACAGGGAUGUCUCAGCCAGGAGCCUGGAAGGGAAGAGGGAAAAUUACUUUUCUUGCCCCAUAGCCCUUACCCAGCUGUAUGCAGAGUUGUGGGCAGGUGGCCUCGGGAGCCCGGGAGCAUUGGUCUCCACAGCAGUGUUUCCACUGGGGCCUCAAAAAUGAGGAGGACACACGUGCUUUUGCAUGAAAUCACAUGGGACAUGAUCUGCAUGGAUCCUGAAGGGGUGGCUCAGGCAACCUGCAGACCACCUCCUCUCAUUGCCAAAAUGUCAUGCUCUGUCCAGAAUGAAAAGCCAGGUCCCAGUGACUUGAACCCUGGAACAAAUGACAGACCUGAAAGUUCACUGUUCAACAGAUCAAACUGUUACUGAACCAAAGUGGAUCAGCUUCCUGAAUAUCUACUGCAGGCACUGGAGACACAAUGGUGAGCAAAAUCAGACACGGCACCUGCCCGCAUGGACUUUAUUUUAGAGA